UUAAGUGAUAAAGUAUAAGGAAGAUUUAUAAGGUAUAACAUGCAAGAUGCGACACCUAAUCAGCACGUUCCCAGUACCUUUAAAUGAGAAAAUUUCCUAACGUGGAGAGCAUAAACAAGGCUUACUAUUUAGUGAUGUGCAUCGACAUUCUUCAUUUCCAUAAAUGGGCCAAGCAAGCAUUUUAUAAGGAGAGUCUCUUUCUCAUUCUAAUUACAUGUGAA
rnacentral:lncRNA from 1 species